GGAAUAUUGCACAAUGGGCGAAAGCCUGAUGCAGCGACGCCGCGUGAGGGAUGACGGCCUUCGGGUUGUAAACCUCUUUCAGCAGGGAAGAAGCGCAAGUGACGGUACCUGCAGAAGAAGCGCCGGCUAACUACGUGCCAGCAGCCGCGGUAAUACGUAGGGCGCGAGCGUUGUCCGGAAUUAUUGGGCGUAAAGAGCUCGUAGGCGGCUUGUCGCGUCGGAUGUGAAAGCCCGGGGCUUAACCCCGGGUCUGCAUUCGAUACGGGCAGGCUAGAGUUCGGUAGGGGAGAUCGGAAUUCCUGGUGUAGCGGUGAAAUGCGCAGAUAUCAGGAGGAACACCGGUGGCGAAGGCGGAUCUCUGGGCCGAUACUGACGCUGAGGAGCGAAAGCGUGGGGAGCGAACA
rnacentral:rRNA from 1 species